ensembl:lncRNA
ACUCCAUUCUCCUCCCCUCGGGCUCCCGCGGAUGCUUUAAUGCUUCGGAUGCUUCUGCCUCCCCUCUGUCCGUCCCGGGGGUGUGGUACUCGCAGGCUCGGGGCGGCCGCACUGCGCAGGCGCCGGGCCGAGCCACGCCUCCCGCUCCGGCCCUCGCGGCGCGGGGCCUGCUGGGACUUGUAGUUCGGCCCCGCGCUGGGCUAGGGCCGGGACUGGCACGCGGCUGCGGGAAUCCGAGAACCGCCCCGGGACUUGCCUUCGGAGGGAAGGCGUUGGGGGCGUGCAGCGAGGGAGUCAAAGGCGGCUCGGCGGAGCUGAAGCCCGCCGCCCACACCCACUCCAGUCCUGGGGCCCGUUCUCGCACAUCCAUGCCCGGGGAGGAGGGGUCGUCCCGCUCGCCCGCUUCCCGCCCUGCCGAAUGCCCGGAAAGCGAAGUGCACUGGCCACGGCGAGGGCGGGGCGAAGCGCUGCGUCCGGGCAGGAGCCGGUGCCGGUUCUGGCCCCCCGCGUGGCGUGCUCGGGGUGGAAGGGAGGUCAGGCUGGCCGGACCUGCAGCCCGGGCCUGCAGCCCGGCUUCCGCCGGGGCACGCCAAGCCCACGCGGGCAGGGGGCUGCAGCCCGAAGGCGGCCAGGCGCGCCCGCGGGGCCCGCACGCGGCGGCCGGCCGAGGUGCUGCCGUCGCACACGCGCUCGGUGGAUGGCAAAGGUGUACUUUGUUUUUCGUCCGAGGGCGCGAAGGGGGAUCCGCGAGUCGGCGGCGACUCGGCGCUGGCGGCAGCAUCGGUACCCACGCAGCCUGAGCGCCCCUCGGCGGCCGCGGGGUGGAAGCGCCGCGGCGGGGCCACGCGGACGACGGGUCCACCCCCGGCCCUCUGGGCCCCGGGAUACCCGUCUGCGACUCCGGGGAUUCCGGCGUGGGAUGCGGACCGGUUCUGCUAAUAACCUGCCUUCCACCACGCGGGGCCGCGAAUCAAGAAUCUUCAUUCCAACCCAAACUGAUUCAUAUUAAUAAAAAUGCAAACGGAAUCGCCGGGGUCAGAAACAUGAUUUACCUUUAUGUGCCAAGCACAGCAGGGAAUACCAAAGUGAUUUCCCAGGAGAGUCCACCGCUAGGAAGACUAGCAAACUGGGAGGAAAACCACUGAGAUAAAAUGGAAUAAGAGUCACUGUGGACACAGACACAAAGGACUUUGGAAGCAGAGAGGAAGUGAUUUCAGGGACUUAGAAAGAAUCCGAGAGGAGAAAUGAGAGCUGACAGUGGGCCUGGAGGCAUGAAGGAGGUUUCCAGUUACUUUCCCACCUCUCUGAGAACUCCCUUCAUCGAUGGACCCAGUGGUGACCAACUCUGACAUUAAAAACUUUGCAGACUUCCCUGGUGGUCGCUGCAGGGGACACAGGCUCAAUCCCUGCUCCAGGAAGAUUCCACAUGCCUUGGGGCAACUAAGCCCCCGCACCACAACUACUGAGCCCACACUCCUAGAGCCUGUGCUCUGAAACAAGAGAGUCCAUGGCGGUAAGAAGACCUGGCACCACAGUGAAGAGUAGCCCUCACUCACCGCAACCAGAGAAAGCUGCUGAAAAGCAAAGAAACCCAACGCAGCCAAAAAUAAGUCAAUACAUUUUUUUUAAUGUUUUAUUU